rnacentral:rRNA from 1 species
AAUGAACGUUGGCGGCGUGGAUUAGGCAUGCAAGUCGAGCGAGAACCGUAGCAAUACGGGGACAGCGGCGAACGGGAGAGUAACGAGUGGAGUACCUACCCUGAGACCCGGGAUAGCCGUGGGAAACCGCGGGUAAUACCGGAUAAUGUCUCCGGACCAAAGGUGUGAUUCCGUCUGAGGAUGGCUCCGCUUCCUAUUAGCUAGUUGGUGAGGUAACGGCUCACCAAGGCAACGAUGGGUACCGGGUGUGAGAGCAUGACCCGGCUCACUGGGACUGAGACACUGCCCAGACACCUACGGGUGGCUGCAGUCGAGAAUCUUCGGCAAUGGGCGCAAGCCCGACCGAGCGACGCCGCGUGCGGGAUGAAGGCCCUCGGGUUGUAAACCGCUGUCAGAGGGGAUGAAAUGCCAGGCAGCAAUCUGUUUGGUUUGACAUAUCCUCGGAGGAAGGACGGGCUAAGUUCGUGCCAGCAGCCGCAGUAAAAC